GGGGAAUUUUCCGCAAUGGGCGAAAGCCUGACGGAGCAAGACCGCGUGGGGGAAGAAGGCUCUUGGGUUGUCAACCCCUUUUCUCAGGGAAGAAGUUCUGACGGUACCUGAGGAAUAAGCAUCGGCUAACUCCGUGCCAGCAGCCGCGGUAAGACGGAGGAUGCAAGCGUUAUCCGGAAUUAUUGGGCGUAAAGCGUCCGUAGGUGGCUUUUCAAGUCGGCGGUCAAAGACCGGGGCUUAACUCCGGAAAGGCCGUGGAAACUGAAAGGCUAGAGAAAGGUAGGGGUAGGGGGAAUUCCCGGUGUAGCGGUGAAAUGCGUAGAGAUCGGGAAGAACACCGGUGGCGAAAGCGCCCUACUGGACCUUAUCUGACACUGAGGGACGAAAGCUAGGGGAGCGAAAGGGAUUAGAUACCCCAGUAGUC
rnacentral:rRNA from 1 species